GUCGUCUUAGCUCAGUUGGGAGAGCGUCGUAUGUGUAAUCUGAAGGUCGUGUGUUCAAUCCACACAGACGACA
rnacentral:tRNA from 1 species